rnacentral:lncRNA from 1 species
UCAAGCCAAAUUGACCGGGGGCUGGUGCGGCCAUUGGUGUCAGUUCUUGUGUAAGUGUAGAAGAUGGACCCGCUUCGGUAACUACUCUAAACCUUAAAUGCCUAGGCGUCCGUCGUGACCUCCUCGUAUAACAUUUUCUACCCCCCGCCUCUUCCUUAAAUAAAUAUGGCUUGCCAUGGAGUCUAAACCAUAGCAUGUAUUCCAGAUCGCUGGCUAACUCUAAAGCGAUAAUAACCUCGCGUGUAGGUAAAAACUCG